rnacentral:rRNA from 1 species
AUUGAACGCUGGCGGCAGGCCUAACACAUGCAAGUCGAGCGGAUGAAGGGAGCUUGCUCCUGGAUUCAGCGGCGGACGGGUGAGUAAUGCCUAGGAAUCUGCCUGGUAGUGGGGGAUAACGUCCGGAAACGGGCGCUAAUACCGCAUACGUCCUGAGGGAGAAAGUGGGGGAUCUUCGGACCUCACGCUAUCAGAUGAGCCUAGGUCGGAUUAGCUAGUUGGUGGGGUAAAGGCCUACCAAGGCGACGAUCCGUAACUGGUCUAAGAGGAUGAUCAGUCACACUGGAACUGAGACACGGUCCAGACUCCUACGGGAGGCAGCAGUGGGGAAUAUUGGACAAUGGGCGAAAGCCUGAUCCAGCCAUGCCGCGUGUGUGAAGAAGGUCCUCGGAUUGUAAAGCACUUUAAGUUGGGAGGAAGGGCAGUAAGUUAAUACCUUGCUGUUUUGACGUUACCAACAGAAUAAGCACCGGCUAACUUCGUG